rnacentral:rRNA from 1 species
UACGGAGGGUGCAAGCGUUAUCCGGAUUCACUGGGUUUAAAGGGUGCGUAGGUGGGCAGGUAAGUCAGUGGUGAAAUCUCCGGGCUUAACCCGGAAACUGCCAUUGAUACUAUUUGUCUUGAAUACUGUGGAGGUCAGCGGAAUAUGUCAUGUAGCGGUGAAAUGCUUAGAUAUGACAUAGAACACCAAUUGCGAAGGCAGCUGGCUAGACAAAUAUUGACACUGAGGCACGAAAGCGUGGGGAUCAAACAGG